ensembl:lncRNA
UUGCGAUAUCUUUGGCAGAGUGAUAAUGCUGUAUAAAGCAAGAACAAGUCCAAAUGAGAGAACUAUGAUAGAGGUCACUAAGGUUCUAUUGCAAAGCCUAUCUUCUUCAGUUAAAUGUUCUUAAGUUGGUCUACGGCAGAGACUGCAAGCAGGUGACUGUAACCUGAACUCCUAAAAUGAACUGUUUCUAUCUUGUUCUACAGGUGUAAAGUCAAAUAUGCUGAAUGGCUCUCCAUCAACAAAUUAAAGAGGCAAAUAUAAAAUCCAGAUUUUUCAGAUUCUGAAAGCACAAGAAAGUUACCUGGGUACUGCACUGCAAAGCUAUGAAGACUGGAAGUGUCCAAACUCUGGUACCCAGUCAUAAUCAGAGAAAACAGAUCCAGUUUUAUGGAGAGAAAAGGUAACUGUGAAAUGGUCUUCAUAUUCCCCAUGAAGAAUAUACAGAGAAUUGAACUCUUAAAUAUGCUAUUGGCAGAAGGAGACAAGUUUUAAUUAUUGGGUAAGGAUUAUUUUAAUAUGUAUGUGAAUUGCUGACAUGAUCAUCCAUCUUUCUCCAAUUCUUGAAAAUGGUUUGAUUUACUUAAUAUUCAAUUGUAAUUUGUUUAUAUCAUUAAUUUAUUUGGCAUAUUC